rnacentral:sRNA from 11 species
GUCAGUAACCCAGCCCUAAAGGGACUGAGCUUGCAAUUUCUUGCAAGCUGUACUGACCAGACCACCCUAAGGGUAGUCUAAGGGUAGCCGUUAUUUGAGUCACGACACCUCGAAAUGCGUAGCCAGUUUCCCGCUCUGUC